GAUGAAGAACGUAGCAAAAUGCGAUAAGUAAUGUGAAUUGCAGAAUUCAGUGAAUCAUCGAAUCUUUGAACGCACAUUGCGCCCGCCAGUAUUCUGGCGGGCAUGCCUGUUCGAGCGUCAUUUCAACCCUCAAGCCCUCGGGUUUGGUGUUGGGGAUCGGCGAGCCUUUCUGGCAAGCCGGCCCCGAAAUCUAGUGGCGGUCUCGCUGCAGCCUCCAUUGCGUAGUAGUAAAACCCUCGCAACUGGAACGCGGCGCGGCCAAGCCGUUAAACCCCCAACUUCUGAAUGUUGACCUCGAAUCAGGUAGGAAUACCCGCUGAACUUAAGCAUAUCAAUAAGCGGAGGA
rnacentral:misc_RNA from 1 species